AACAAAAAGAACCCUUUCAGUAACGGGAAGCGCGGUGAAAAUCCGCCACUGCCCCGCAACUGUGAUGGGGGACGAAAGCCAGAACAACGCCACUGUUCCGCUUUAGCGGGAUGGGAAGGCCUGGCGAGUAGGAUGAUCCCAGAGUCAGGAGACCGACUGAAAAGGGCGCGCUCAC
rnacentral:ncRNA from 2 species